UGAUAAGGUCCGUGUUCGAAAGGGAAACAGCCCAGACCACCAGCUAAGGUCCCAAAAUAUAUGUUAAGUGGAAAAGGAUGUGGCGUUGCCCAGACAACUAGGAUGUUGGCUUAGAAGCAGCCAUCAUUUAAAGAGUGCGUAAUAGCUCACUAGUCGAGUGACACUGCGCCGAAAAUGUACCGGGGCUAAACAUAUUACCGAAGCUGUGGAUUGUCCUUUGGACAAUGGUAGGAGAGCGUUCUAAGGGCGUUGAAGCAUGAUCGUAAGGACAUGUGGAGCGCUUAGAAGUGAGAAUGCCGGUGUGAGUAGCGAAAGACGGGUGAGAAUCCCGUCCACCGAUUGAC
rnacentral:rRNA from 1 species